CUUGACAUACUGUAUGUGGUCUGAAAUGUUCAUUUGAAUAUGUUCUUUCCCAUUCUAUAUACAUGUUGCCAUGGUUUCCCCCCCCCCCAGAAUCACAAUAACAUGUCAUCUGUUUUAUCUUCUUUUUUAAAUGUAUUAUUAUAUCUCAAAAUAUCGCCCAUUGUAAUGUUAUGGAAUGAAAUGUCCUUGUUUCAGACCAACAGCUUACAGAGAAGGCAUAUAGCUUUUUCGAUGUGAAAAGCUAGAAACGACCACUAGAGGAAAUCCUGGUAAAUAAAUAUAAAAUGUAUCAGAAUCAAAGGUUCUAUCCUAAUCUAAUGUGGGGUGGCAGGUAGCCUAGUGGUUUGAGCGUUGGGCAGGUAGCCUAGUGGUUAGAGCGAUGGACAGGUAGCCUAGUGGUUAGAGCGAUGGGCAGGUAGCCUCGUGGUUAGAGCGAUGGGCAGGUAGCCUCGUGGUUAGAGCGAUGGGCAGGUAGCCUAGUGGUUAGAGCGUUGGGCAUGUAGCCUAGUGGUUAGAGCGUUGGGCCAGUAACCAAAAGCUGACAAGGUCAAAAAUCUGUCUUUCUGCUCCUGAACAAGGCAGUUAACCCACUGUUCCACGGUAGGCUGUUAUUGUAAAUAAGAAUUUGUUCUUAACUGACUUGCCUAGUUAAAUAAAAUAAAAGUUAAAUUUAAAGACUGCCAAGCCAUUUAACAUGACCAAGAAAACCACUAAGCUAUGUGUAUUUUGUACAAUGUCUGUUAGUAGUGAAAUGAAAUGUACGUGUGUUUAAAGAGAGUCACCAUUUUUUUGGACUGAUUCGGCCAAACUAGUCUACAUACAUCUACAGGUGUGAUAAUGUUAUAUUUGUCCAUCAACAAGGUUACUGAUCCAAACAGAUGUGCUAGAAGGUAAAGGGG
ensembl:lncRNA